rnacentral:tRNA from 1 species
GGAGAGAUGGCUCAGUGGUUAAGAGCACUGGCUGCUUUUCCAGCCCAGCGGUCCUGAGUUCAAUUCUCAGCACCC